AAGAAUAACAAUUCUAGUUCCCUACAAAUCAGCCGGUUCAGAGCUGUCCCUCAAAAUCCUGGCCGUCUCAGUGUUAAAGAAGUGCGACCUCUCUCCGCCCUGGGUGGCGCCAUCCAGACAAGGUGGGGCAGAUAGUGCCCUCUCUCCCCUCUGUCUCCCACUCUCUGUCUCUCCUUCCCUCUUUCUCCAAGCCCAGCGGAUCCAUUUCUCCUCCCGGCUGUGAUCAUGACAAGCGUCCCCGUUUCUUCCUUCUACCCCUGAGCCCCCCCUUCUUAAACUUGACCCACGUUGACCUCCACACCAUUACGUCUGAAUGGGUCGCCUGCAACUCAUUAAAAUCCACGACUGCAGCACAGAUGAAAGAUGAAGCGGAUUAACCGGGGGCUCCGAUGUAUCCGUGAGAUUGACUCUUCGCUGUAGGCAAUGGAAUCUUUUCUCUUUUUCUUAACAAUCAAUCAAGAGUGAAUUAAACAGAAGGGUUUCCGAAGACGCUCAUUAUCUCCAUUCCUCGAAACAGCCCCUCCCCAUUGCUCCAGCCUCUGCCCCUCACAAGCCGGCUGUGCCAUCCCUGCGUGUGGGCCUGCACUGGGCCAUUCAUUUUUCCUCGCCCCUGGGAAGAGUGGCGACCACCACUUCUUGGCGACGACUAUGGGGUCCUCCCCGUGGGCACAAUCAGGAGUUGGCAAUGCCCCAUACCCGAGGCCCUUUCAUGUCAAACCCAUUCACGUAGGCUGCGACUCACUGCAACCUGAUGCCAGCGGCCGGCCGCCAGCUCGGGGUUCUGUCACCAGGGCAGCGCUGGCCAGCAGCGAGGCAGGGGACGCCAAGCUCACAGGGAGAGGGAUUUCAUUUCUCUUCUGCUCACAUUUUUCUCAUUAAAAAUUUCAAAACCUCCCAAGACUCAGAAGUAAUUGCAGCAGAUUUCUAGUUCAAGCCCCUUUAUUUGCUACAAGAACCAAAGGAUGGGGGCGUGAAGCGAUCAGCCACGCACAGGCGUCGGACCUACGGGGCGCUGGACACGGAGGUCCUUCCCGCUCAGCACAAGGCAACAUAUUUUUGGAAUUUAUCAGUCCCCGUACGCCUAGAAUACCUGACCCCUUUCUUCGGAUGUGGUUGCGGCGGGACAAGAACCAAGGUGGUCUUUGCUGUGGACUGAGCUCAAAGCACACGUCGCUGUCAUGGCGGGGAACGGGCUGGAAGACGCUCCGGAAAUGACCGGGGCGAAUGGGAUUCAGCAUCCGGGCUGCCGCUGCCUCUCAGGGGCUCCCUGCAAACGUGGCCGGCGGAGGGAAGGAGUGUCCUGGUGGAGCUCUGGUCGCAGGGAGCAUUCCUCAAAUGAACGCGGUUCCAAUCAACCGGGUCCGGCCAAAAGGCAGAUUCCAGCUCAGUAGCUCAGAGGCCUGAUUCUGCAUCUCAGCCGGCGUCAGGCCACCCCCGUGCUGUCGGGUCCACUCGGAGCGGGCAGGUCCUGGGCACACUGGAGAGUGCAGAAGCUGGUGGCUUUGUUCCAUUUCUGUAUACAAUCCUGUCUCCCCUCUCCCUGCUGCUGGCUCCCCCUUCCUCUUUCUCCCUCUCCUCCAUCCUGCCUCCUCCUCUCUGCCCCCGCCCCACCUAUUCCCCCAUCCUCACCAGACACUCACCCAGUGCGGCCCACCUGACCCUGCCCCAACCAUCCUCUUACUCAGAAAUCCGUUUGCUUGUGAUGUAAUAAUAUUUUGGAACAUCUCAUAUCCCUUCUCCUCACAGACUUCUCACUCUAUCACCAAUGUUAAAAGACAAACUUCAGACAAACUGAAUGUCACAGAGCUUCAUUGAGCAAAUGACUGUUGGUGAAUGGGGCAGCCCUGGACCCAGCAUAGGCUCAGGGCGGCUCCGUCGCUGUCGCGUGGUCCGGUUAGAUUUGUGGACAGAGAAAGGACAGUGAUGCCAAGAAAACUGGACGGAGGCACAGAAACAGCCAGACGGGCACCGCUUGGCGUGGGCCUCAUUUAAACACAGUUUGAACCGGGCCACGGUGCAUGGUGACGCCUGGCUGCUGUGAUCCGCUGAGAUGCGGCUGCUUGGGGCAAGGGUGGGUUAGGUCUGUUGGCACGCCCAGUUAGGUGACAGUCACUAAGUGUGGAGAGGUCUUCAGGCUGACCCUAAAAUAUGUAAGGAGGCAGCUUUAGGCUAAACUUGACGUCACACAGAAUACCACCAUCUAGGCUGUCAACCCAGUGGAACGUGAGGACAAUUUUCUUCUUCAAUGUUUUGAUUAAUUGGAUUAAUAGGGGUGGAAUAAUCAGAUAAUUUUUCACCAAAAUUCAUGUUUUCCUUCAGAAAUUUUCCAGUUAGGUUGCCUAAAGCAAAAAAUUCACAAGAGAAGUGUCAAAUAUCUGCUUGACUUAAAACUUUUGUAUACACAGCUUCUAUUUUUU
rnacentral:lncRNA from 10 species